rnacentral:rRNA from 1 species
GUGCAGCAAGCGAGAAUUUUUCUCAAUGGGGGCAACCCUGAAGGAGCGACGCCGCGUGGAGGAUGAAGGCUUUCGGGUUGUAAACUCCUGUCAUUUGGGAACAAGUGGCCGAACAUAACUACUUCGGCCUUGAUAGUACCAGAAGAGGAAGAGACGGCUAACUCUGUGCCAGCAGCCGCGGUAAUACAGAGGUCUCAAGCGUUGUUCGGAUUCAUUGGGCGUAAAGGGUGCGUAGGUGGCGCCAUAAGUCGGGUGUGAAAUCUCGGGGCUUAACUCCGAAACUGCAUUCGAUACUGUGGUGCUUGAGGACUGGAGAGGAGACUGGAAUUCAUGGUGUAGCAGUGAAAUGCGUAGAGAUCAUGAGGAAGACCAGUGGCGAAGGCGGGUCUCUGGACAGUUCCUGACACUGAGGCACGAAGGCCAGGGGAGCAAACGGGAUUAGAUACCCCUGUAGU